rnacentral:rRNA from 1 species
GACAGAGGGUGCAAACGUUGUUCGGAAUUACUGGGCGUAAAGCGCGUGUAGGCGGCUAUGUAAGUCGGGCGUGAAAUCCCACGGCUCAACCGUGGAAGUGCACUCGAAACUGCAUAGCUAGAGUCCUGGAGAGGAAGGUGGAAUGCUUGGUGUAGAGGUGAAAUUCGUAGAUAUCAAGCGGAACACCGGUGGCGAAGGCGGCCUUCUGGACGACAACUGACGCUGAGGCGCGAAAGCGUGGGGAUCAAACAGG